rnacentral:rRNA from 1 species
CCCUUAGAUGUCCGGGGCUGCACGCGCGCUACACUGAAGGAAUCAGCGUGCUAAAACCAUUGUCGAAAGGCAUUGGUAAACCCAUUAAAAUCCUACGUGAUUGGGAUCGGGAAUUGCAAUUAUUUCCCUUGAACGAGGAAUUCCCAGUAAGUGUGGGUCAUAAGCUCGCGUUGAUUACGUCCCUGCCCUUUGUACACACCGCCCGUCGCUGCCCGGGACUGAGCCGUUUCGAGAAAAGCGGGGACUGCUGCUGUCGGUGCUUUCGGGCCUUGGCUUCGGUGGAAACCGCUUUAAUCGCAGUGGCUUGAACCGGGCAAAAGUCGUAACA